UGCUGCAAAGAUGUUUGUCCUUCUGGAAGGUUAUCCCACCUCUACAGAGGAACUCUGGAGCUUUGUCAAGAGUGACCAUCGAUCACCCAAUUGCUCAGUUUAGCCAACCAGCCAGCUCUAGGAAGAAUCUAGGUAGUUCCAAACUUCUUCCAUUUAAGGAUGACAGAGGCCACUGUGUUCUUGGGGACCUUCAAUGCUGCAGAAGUAUGUUGGUACUCUUCUCCAGAUCUGUGCCUUGACAAAAUCCUGUCUUGGAGCUCUGCGGACAAUUCCUUCGACCUCAUGGCUUGGUCUGACAUGCACUGUCAACUGUGGGACCUCAUAUAGACAGAUGCACAGUAUCAUCAGCGUCCCUGUCGCCGUUUGGUUAAAGGAGAGAACUCAACUAAGGAAUCAUUGGGGCACCAACUAAACAUCCACCAUUUCAACUAGAGGUCAAAUCAUUCAGGUAUAACAUUAUAUUAUUUCAUGGUUUUCUAAUUCAUUAAAUUUACAUAAAACAUCUGCACAAUUUUGGAAUAUAUUAUACAGUAUAAUGUAGUGCUUUUUCUAAAUGUAAUAGGUCUUCUUUAGUCAUUGUUUCUAUUUGACUUGGCGAGGCAGGUAGCCUAGUGGUUAGAGCAUUGGACUAGUAACCGAAAGCGUUGCUGGAUCAAGUCCCUGAGCUGACAAGGUAAAAAUCUGUCAUUCUACCCCUGAACAAGGCAGUUAACCCAUUGUUCCUAGGCUGUCAUUGUAAAUAAGAAUUUGUUCUUAACUGACUUAGUUAAAUAAAUAAUAAUUGUAGUUUCAUGAAGAUAUGAAUGGAAGUCUUAUCUACCCUAAACAAACAGUUGAAAUGUGUUGGUUCACUGAAGUACAGUUAAGUACGUCAAAAAUAACCUGGAGUUAAUUGUUUGGACAUGGAAUACAUUCAUGUUUAAACAUUACCCAAAUCUCUUCUGUUCAUACUACAGGUUCAUGGUCUGCAACUGUGAGAGCAGGCCCCCCACUUAGUGUAUUUGUCAAGCUGAGUUGGACACUCAGUAUUACAGGGUGUCAGUUUGUCAAAUACCCCAAGUGAGGGGUCACUUGUCUGCUGAGCAUCUCCCAUCAGACUAACUUCAAAGAAGAACACUUCAUCAACCUCCAAGUGACUUUCACUGUUAAGACUUUCUCAGAGGCAAAACAUUUUGAUUAUGUGAAAAUUAUUAUCUUUAUCUACUAUGAGUGAUUAUGUGCAAUUGAUCACGCACUGUCACAAAUGUCUCAUGUAUUUUGUGUAAGUUUGUAUGAUGGAACUUAGUACACUGUGUAACAAAUGUGUGUCUCUGUAUUAAAUACUGCAUUAAAUAAUUACUGGGUUAUAAAA